AGUGAACGCUGGCGGUAGGCCUAACACAUGCAAGUCGAACGGCAGCACAGUAAGAGCUUGCUCUUACGGGUGUCGAGUGGCGGACGGGUGAGGAAUACAUCGGAAUCUACUUUUUCGUGGGGGAUAACGUAGGGAAACUUACGCUAAUACCGCAUACGACCUACGGGUGAAAGCAGGGGAUCUUCGGACCUUGCGCGAUUGAAUGAGCCGAUGUCGGAUUAGCUAGUUGGCGGGGUAAAGGCCCACCAAGGCGACGAUCCGUAGCUGGUCUGAGAGGAUGAUCAGCCACACUGGAACUGAGACACGGUCGAGACUCCUACGGGAGGCAGCAGUGGGGAAUAUUGGACAAUGGGCGAAAGCCUGAUCCAGCCAUACCGCGUGGGUGAAGAAGGCCUUCGGGUUGUAAAGCCCUUUUGUUGGGAAAGAAAAGCAGCAGGUUAAUACCCCGCUGUUCUGACGGUACCCAAAGAAUAAGCACCGGCUAACUUCGUG
rnacentral:rRNA from 1 species